CCUACGGGGAGCAGCAGUGGGGAAUAUUGCACAAUGGGGGAAACCCUGAUGCAGCGACGCCGCGUGAGUGAAGAAGUAUUUCGGUACGUAAAGCUCUAUCAGCAGGGAAGAAAAUGACGGUACCUGACUAAGAAGCCCCAGCUAACUACGUGCCAGCAGCCGCGGUAAUACGUAGGGGGCAAGCGUUAUCCGGAUUUACUGGGUGUAAAGGGAGCGUAGACGGCAGCGCAAGUCUGGAGUGAAAUCCCAUGGCUUAACCAUGGAACUGCUUUGGAAACUGUGCAGCUAGAGUGCAGGAGAGGUAAGCGGAAUUCCUAGUGUAGCGGUGAAAUGCGUAGAUAUUAGGAGGAACACCAGUGGCGAAGGCGGCUUACUGGACUGUAACUGACGUUGAGGCUCGAAAGCGUGGGGAGCAAACAGGAUUAGAUACCCGGGUAGUC
rnacentral:rRNA from 1 species